ACCCUGUACAGGAUGCUGCAUGGGGCUUAAAGCACCCUUGCAACAUCUUGUCCAGACC
rnacentral:precursor_RNA from 1 species